AAGAAUUUCAUUUCUUAAAAAAAGUAACUUCUUAUAUUCAUUUUCAAAGUUUUAUCUUUGAAAAAAUAUGGAGAAGUGGGUUAUUUUAGGGGUUUCCCUUCAUAAAAAUGCCCUACUAACUGGGUAAAGCAUAACAUAAUUGGGGCUUCUUGCAAUUCCUCACUAGAAUUUUCCGUUGAUUCUAUGUUUUUCCUCUUCCCCACAUAUUCAUUUUUAACCUGUUGUCUUAUGUUUAUAUCCUUGAUGAAUUCAUUUAAUAAAUCAAACACUUCAAAACUAAGUUUCCUUUCUCAGACGGGUACAUAAAAAAAAAAGGAAGGAGCCAUCUAACUUCAUGACUGGGACAUAUAAAAGAGAAUAUUUUUAGCGGAGAUCCAUAGGCCAGAGAAGCAGAACAUAGUAGAUGCCAAGCACAUGAGAACAAUACAGAAGGUAGCUUUAACCAUUACUGAUUUUUAUAUACUUAUGUAAAUACAGAAUCUUGAAAACUAACUGUAAGAGGAAUUUCUCAGUCUCAGUUAUAGUGACUUAAUUGGGAGGGAGUAUCUUUAGGAAUCACUUUUCUCAUGUCUCUCAGCAGUUGUCUUUUGAAAUAAAUAUUCAAUUACAUUGUCCCAUGCUUUCCCACAGUCUGUCCCAGCAGUGGACUGAGUUGUAUCUUGUCAAUCUUUCACAAAUAAUGUUGUGCUGAAAAGCUUUUACAACUCAUUUUCAGUGUUUGGCUUCUUAAAUGUAUAUAUUCCUCCAACUUCCAGCUGAACCACCAUGCCAGAUUUGAUGGUUUGAUUCCAUGUAACCUUUCUGAGAUCAGGACCAGCUGUAAGGUAUAACCAGUUUGAAAUGUCACAUCCUAAACCACCACCUCUGGUUGGACAGCAUACACUGGAUAUAUUGAAGGGUACAUUGGGAUAUAAGGAUGAUGUUAUACAGGAUCUGUUUGAUGCUGGGGCAAUAGCUCAGCAUGAAUUCAAGUGAAUUGAUUUGAUUUCAAUGGCUGAUAUGGGUGAAGGUUUCAUGGAUCGCAUUGAAUAUCUUCACUUUGCACAGUGUAUUAAUUGAAGUAUGAUUAAAUUCUUUUUAUAAUAAUCUGAAAUUUAUAUGUCACAAAAGCAUCAACUUUCACACUUUUUAAUAAAUUUACUAUCAGGAAAUACAUAUUUUUGUAAAGUUCAGACACUAUUACAGUAUGGUUCAGCACUCCCAGAAGUUUUAAUUGUAGGUAAUCUCACAUUUAUUGUAAUUGUAAUAAUGCCAGAUGACUUUCAAAAUACAUUUAAAGAAAUUAACACUUGAAUGUUAUAGCUGAAGGAGAGUUUCUUUUGAAAAUAUUUUAAAAUAAAAACUAUAAUAUUGAGCAAAUAGGUAGUUUCAUUAUUCAUCUUAAAUAGGAACCUUAUUAACUUGCUAAUUUCUUAUAUGAGCCCCAGUGAAAGAGGCUUUUACAAAAUUAAGUUGUAUUUAAAUUCAGAUUACCAGAUUUGCUCUUGUAAGCAUUUGGUUUCCAUCACAUUACUAUCAAAUGGUAGCUACAUUGCACUUAAAAGUUAAAAUGCUAACUAUCUUUAUGUUUGCAAGAACAUAUUUAAUCAGCUAUGUAUUAAACAGUGAAUGAAUAAUGCUAGUGAUUUUAUUUUGAGAGUUCUUAUAUUUUUCUAAAUUUAUUGUAUGUGAAUUUCCAAAAUAUACGCAGCAGCAUUUUCCCAGAAACGUGAUUCUAUCUGCAGGCAUUGGGAUUUACUUGAUUUGGGAUACUUUUUAGUGUUCUUUUAAAAAAUAAAUAAAAAUAAAAGCUAA